rnacentral:rRNA from 1 species
GUUAGGAAUAUUGGACAAUGGGCGCAAGCCUGAUCCAGCCAUGCCGCGUGAGUGAUGAAGGCCUUCGGGUUGUAAAGCUCUUUAGCCGAUGAUUAUAAUGACUGUAGUCGGAAAAUAAGCCCCGGCUAACUUCGUGCCAGCAGCCGCGGUAAUACGAAGGGGGCGAGCGUUAUUCGGAAUCACUGGGCGUAAAGCGUGCGUAGGCGGCUUUGCAAGUUGAGAGUGAAAGCCCAGGGCUCAACCCUGGAAUUGCUCUCAAAACUGCAAGGCUCGAAUUCGGGAGAGGAUAGCGGAAUUGUCAGUGUAGCAGUGAAAUGCGUAGAUAUUGACAGGAACACCAGUGGCGUAAGCGGCUAUCUGGACCGAUAUUGACGCUGAGGCACGAAAGCGUGGGGAUCAAACAGGAUUAGAAACCCCAGUAGUCC